CGACGGCUCGCCGUCGGCGUGGCUGCGUUAUGUCGGACCGUUGCUGCAGGCGCGCGAUUGGGAGGCGACGGCGGUGCCGGAACUGCGGCAGUACGUGCAGCGGCUCGCCGAUACGCUGCUCGCGCCGCGCGACGAACGGGCGCUGACCUAGUGGCGCGGAGCGGCGCGCAUCCGCUUGCGGACGGUGGGCGGGCCGUCGUGCUUCAGGACGGGACGCAUAAAAUAGGAUUGCAUAUGAAUCAAUCAUAUGACGUGGUCGAGACGGCGCUGCGGCUGCGCGCCGGGUUGGCCGAGCAUCUGGGGGCGGCCGGCCCCGAUGUGGACGAGCCGCUCGUCGAUCAUGUCGGCGGCGCGCUGCCGCCGGCGCUGCUCGUCGACGUCGUGCGCGCGUGCGGCGGCAUGCAUGCGACGCGCGUCGACGUGCUCGGGUGCGCGACGCUGCGCGAGCUCGCGGCCUGGAUCGAGCGCACGGGCGGCGCGGCGCGCGAGCCUCGUGCCGCGCCCGACGCCGCGCCGACCGGCGCGCGCCCGGAAGCGCCGCUCGCGCCGGAGGACGCGGACGACGCGCCGGCUUCGCCCGCACAGGAAGAUCUGUGGCUCGCCGCGCAGGUUCAGGAGGAGGGCGCCGCAUAUCACCUGUCGAUCGCGCUGCGCUUAGACGCGCCCGUCGACGACGCGUCGAUGAGGCGGGCGCUCGUCGAGGUGAUCGCUCGGCAUCCGUCGUUGCGCACGACGUUUCGGCGCGAUGCGCAGGGUCUGCGGCAGUGCGUGCGCGCGGCGGCGCAGGCCGAGGUCGACUGGUCCGAGGCGGUGCUGCCGGCGCCGGACGAGGCCGGCGAGCGCGAAUCCGGCCUGCGCGACGCAUUGACGCGAUUCGCGCAGCCGCGCUUCGACCUGCACGCAGGGCCGCUGCUGCGUGCGCGCCUGCACCGCGGGGCGCCGGACUGCGACGUGGUGCAGAUCGUCGUUCAUCAUAUUGUCUUCGAUGCGUGGUCGCGGAUGGUCGUGUCGCGCGAGAUCGUCGACGCGUACCAUGCGCUGCGCGCGGGCCGCGCGAUCGCAUGGAGUGCCGCGGCGGCUUCGCCCGGCGCGUUCGCGCGCGGGCAGCGCGACGCGCUGACGCCGCAGCGGGUCGCCCGGUUGCGCGAAUACUGGCGCGCGCAACUGGCCGGCGUGCCGCCGGUGCUCGAUUUGCCGACCGAUUUCGCGCGCCCGGCCGUGCGCGACGGCAUCGGCGCGACGGCGCUGCGCAUGCUGCCCGCCGCGCUCGCCGAGCGGCUCGCGGCCGUCGGCGCCCGGCACGGCGCGUCGCUGUUCAUGACGCUGAUGGCCGCAUGGCAGAUCCUGCUGUGGCGCUGCAGCCGGCAGCACGAAUUCGCGAUCGGCACGCCGAUGGCGGCGCGCGACG
rnacentral:rRNA from 1 species